rnacentral:rRNA from 1 species
UACGUAGGGGGCAAGCGUUGUCCGGAAUUAUUGGGCGUAAAGAGCGUGUAGGCGGCCAGAUAAGUCCGCUGUGAAAUCUCGAGGCUCAACUUCGAGCUGUCGGUGGAAACUAUCUGGCUAGAGUCCGGAAGAGGAGAAUGGAAUUCCUGGUGUAGCGGUGAAAUGCGCAGAUAUCAGGAAGAACACCCGUGGCGAAGGCGGUCUCUGGGACGGUACUGACGCUGAGACGCGAAAGCGUGGGGAGCGAACAGG